rnacentral:tRNA from 1 species
GCGGGUGUAGCUCAGCGGUAGAGCGUCUGCUUCCCAAGCAGGAUGUCGCGGGUUCGAUCCCCGUCGCCCGCUCCA